UUCAUCUUUGAAAACAACGUGAAUCGGUCCAUGUGAGAAGAUGCAGUGGAAGUGACUCUGCUGAUGAUCAUGUGUUCCAAGACCUUGACCUUGGAAUCCUCCUUGUUGAGCG